AGAUGGCGACCGCAUAUGAGGAGACUCCCUGUUCCCAAACGCCCUUUGAUUUCUCAAGGAUCUAUGAAGUGGGGAAACCAGUUAUAAUAAAGGAAUUACAGGCACAUGCGAAGACCAAGACAUGCCCAAAGCACUACCAGAGAGGUGGGAAAGAGAAGUCCUGGACACAUGAUAUGUCUUGAUUUUGCAAUGGAAUUUCACAAAAGUCACCAGUGACAUCUGUAGUAGGCUGAAUGCUGAUUCUCAAAGAUAUUGGAUUCUAAUCCCCGGAACCUGUGAAUGUUACCUUAUAAUGAUAAAGUCUUUGCAGAUGUGAUGAAGGGUGAUCAUACAUUUCCAGUGACAACAUGGAGUUUGGGUACUGUUGAUGUCUGACACAGAGCUUAUUCAUUUCUUAUGUAUUUAUGGAACAUCUACCGUAUGGAGGUUGA